UACCUUGCGAGUGGCAAUAUCGUAACCAGUGAAGGUUUCCUGAGGUGCGAUUAUUGCUAGUUGAAAACUAAGUACAUUUAUCAAAUAUCAUGAACGUAACACAAUUUAUGGAUCCUAUUUUCAGAUA
rfam:Rhodnius prolixus Rhodnius_prolixus-3.0.3-54.27, whole genome shotgun sequence.